UCAAGCUAAAAAGAGCGCAGGGUGGAUGCCUUGGCACUAAGAGCCGAUGAAAGACGUGAUAAGCUGCGAUAAGCUACGGGGAGGAGCACAUAUCCAUUGAUCCGUAGAUUUCUGAAUGGGGAAACCCGGCUGAGCAUACCUCAGUCACCGUACACUGAAUCCAUAGGUGUACGGAGGGAACCCGGUGAACUGAAACAUCUAAGUAGCCGGAGGAAGAGAAAGAAAACUCGAUUUUCAAAGUAGCGGCGAGCGAAAUGGAAAGAGCCCAAACCGGAGUGCGUGCACUCCGGGGUUCGGACUGCAUUUAUGACUUCUGACUGUAGCGGAACGGUUCUGGAAAGACCGGCCAGAGAGGGUGAGAGCCCCGUAGGCGAAACGGAAAGAAGCAGAGCAGGAUCCAGAGUACCACGAGACACGAGAAACCUUGUGGGAAUGAGCGGGGACCACCCCGUAAGGCUAAAUACUCCUUAGUGACCGAUAGAGCAGAGUACUGUGAAGGAAAGGUGAAAAGGACCCCGGGAGGGGAGUGAAAGAGAACCUGAAACCCUGUGUUUACAAACUGUGGAAGUACCAUACGAGUACAACCGCGUACUUUUUGUAGAACGGUCCGGCGAGUUACGUUUACUGGCGAGGUUAAGCACUUAAGGUGCGGAGCCGAAGGGAUACCAAGUCUUAACAGGGCGUUAAGUCAGUGUACGUAGACCCGAAACCGGGUGAUCUACCCAUGUCCAGGCUGAAGUUGCCGUAAAAGGCAAUGGAGGGCCGAACGCACAUCCGUUGAAAAGGGUGGCGAUGAGGUGUGGGUAGGGGAGAAAUUCCAAUCGAACCCGGAGAUAGCUGGUUCUCCUCGAAAUAGCUUUAGGGCUAGCCUCGUGUUAACCUUGUGGAGGUAGAGCACUGAAUAUCCUAGGGGGCGUCAAAGUCUACCGAAGAUUAUCAAACUCCGAAUGCCAUAAAGGUGAUGCACGGGAGUCAGACUGCACGAGAUAAGUUGGGUGGUCAAAAGGGAAAGAGCCCAGACCUACAGCUAAGGUCCCAAAGUGCGUGUUAAGUGGAAAAGGAUGUGGGAUUUCGAAGACAACUAGGAUGUUGGCUCAGAAGCAGCCAUACAUUCAAAGAGUGCGUAAUAGCUCACUAGUCGAGAGGUCCUGCGCCGAAAAUGUCCGGGGCUGAAACACGACACCGAAGCUUAGGAAUGUAGUAAUACAUUGGUAGAGGAGCAUUGUUAGCGCAGCGAAGCUGUACCGAUAAGGAGCAGUGGAGUGCUAAGAAGAGAGAAUGCCGGAAUGAGUAGCGAGAGGAAGGUGAGAAUCCUUCCGGCCGAAUAUCCAAGGUUUCCAGAGUAAAGCUGAUCUGCUCUGGGUAAGUCGGGGCCUAAGGCGAGGUCGAAAGACGUAGUCGAUGGAUAACAGGUGGAGAUUCCUGUACUAUGUGUACCCAGAACUGUGGGGACGCAUGUGGAGAGCACGAGCCGGGAAAGAGAAAACCGGUACAAGCGGGGUAGGAGUAAGGACAGCAAAUCUUCCUUACAAUCCGAAGACGUAAUGUGGACCGAACCAAAGUAGGGAAGCGUGUGAGCCAUGUGCCAAGAAAAGCCGCUAUUGUGAUACACAUACCCGUACCGUAAACCGACACAGGUGGAUGAGGAGAGAAUCCUAAGGCCGACGGAAGAAGCAUUGUUAAGGAACUCGGCAAAAUGACCCCGUAACUUCGGGAGAAGGGGUGCCCUGUGAAAGCAGGGCCGCAGAGAAUAGGCUCAAGCAACUGUUUAGCAAAAACACAGGUCUAUGCGAAACCGAAAGGUGAGGUAUAUGGGCUGACGCCUGCCCGGUGCUGGAAGGUUAAGAGGAGAGGUUAGCGCAAGCGAAGCUUUGAAUUUAAGCCCCAGUAAACGGCGGCCGUAACUAUAACGGUCCUAAGGUAGCGAAAUUCCUUGUCGGGUAAGUUCCGACCC
rnacentral:rRNA from 1 species